GAGGCUCAAAUCCAAUAUCUUCAGGACUAACAACGAGAAACAAAAACACCAAAACCCCAACUAAAAUCACCAAAAUCCCCGGCACCGCAAAUGACCAACCCCAUCCAAACUCCAAAACACCAGAAGCCACAACCGACCCAAUAAUGUUUCCAACUGAAGUAUGUGAAUUCCAUACCCCCAUUAUCAACCCUCUCUUUGCUUUCCCAAACCAAUUCCCAACAACUGCCACCACACAAGGCCAUCCUAUAGACUGAAACAAUCCACACAAAAUCUGUAUACCCACA
rnacentral:misc_RNA from 1 species